CAAAUCUAUGGAAAAGAAAAGAUCUUGAACACAAUAUUUAUUCUUCUUUCGAUUUGCUAUCUUUUGCAGACAAUUGCAUUGGCCAUCACAAUUGGGAUUGUUGUCCACAUAUACUUGCUUAUGUACCAUGUGAUUUUCCAAGAUUAAUCACAUGCCCAAAGCCAAAAUUCAUUAGUUUAUUAGACCCAAUUUCAACUAUCAGCAACCCACAUAUUCAACUCUAUUAUCCAGCGCUCCAGCGGUCACUGGUAUUCUCAUGGUCAUCAUAAUGACAUUCUCUUUCACCCGAGCAACACAUUCUUUCAGGAGAAGUGUGGUGAAGUUGCCAUCACCUCCGCACCACUUGGCUGGAGUCAAUGCAUUUUGGUAUGCCCACCAUCUUCUGGUGCUUGUGUAUGUCUUCCUUGUUGUGCAUUCCUACUUCAUUUAUCUCACAAGGGAAUGGUUCAAGAAGAUGUUGGGGCCAUGCCUUCUCUGUGGUACAAAAAUUUUCCCAUCAUUAUCACCAAAUAUCAAUGAUAUGAAGAAAAAAAAUCUAAUGUUUGUGCAGACAUGGAUUUAUGUAUCGAUUCCAGUCCUCUUUUAUGCAUAUGAAAGACUACUCGGAAAAUUUUGUGAGAAAAAUUAUCGUGUGAGCAUUGUUAAGGUAAGCUACUCAUCUCGAUAUAUAUGGCCUCAAGUAGUAGGAGAAUGAGCAUUCACUGUUAAAUCAACAGAAAAUGAAUAAAUUUAUAUCUUCUAUGUAUCAUACAGGAAGCAAUAUAUCCAGGCAAUGUCCCUUCAAUACAUAUCAAAAAGCCACCAGGGUUCAAAUACAAGAGUGGAAUGUGCCUGUUUGUCAAGUGUCCAGAUGCCUCACCCUUCGAACGGUAUAUGUUAACUAGCUCCAGGGAUAAUAUGUCUAAAUUGUAAUUUUCCUGUAUUCAGCUUCUAAUUUGAAUAUUUUAACAGGCACUCCUUCUCCAUCACUUCUGCACCAGGAGAUGACUACUUGAGUGUUCACAUCCGGACCUUGGGAGACUGGACAACAGAGCUCAGGUAUUUGGAAAGGUUAGGUCAAGUCAAUAACAUCAACUAGAAAUUCUAGGGAAUAUUAAAUUAUGGAGGCCAGAAUAACUAAAGCAAACUUCUCUGAUUCAGGUUCGUGAGUCUCAAGUUGAGUCUAAGAAGGCCAACCUAGUUAGACUUGAAACAACAGUUGUAGCAGAUGCUCAAAUUCAAGAAACUAUGUGAGCACAAAAUAUAUUAUUGUUUUUACCCACUCACUCUGCGCAAAAUUUCAGCAAGACCCAGCUUCCCAUGGAAAUAGAAUUCUCUUGCAGAUCCCCAAAGCUCCUGAUAGAUGGGCCUUAUGGUGCUCCUGAUAGAUGGGCCUUAUGGUGCUCCAGCUCAAAAUUACAAAAAAUAUGAU
rnacentral:lncRNA from 1 species